rnacentral:hammerhead_ribozyme from 1 species
GCACUGCUGAGGAGUCCCACAAUAGGACGAAACGGCCGUCGACCAUAU